rnacentral:rRNA from 1 species
GACGAACGCUGGCGGCGUGCCUAAUACAUGCAAGUUGAGCGCUGAAGGUUGGUACUUGUACCAACUGGAUGAGCAGCGAACGGGUGAGUAACGCGUGGGGAAUCUGCCUUUGAGCGGGGGACAACAUUUGGAAACGAAUGCUAAUACCGCAUAAAAACUUUAAACACAAGUUUUAAGUUUGAAAGAUGCAAUUGCAUCACUCAAAGAUGAUCCCGCGUUGUAUUAGCUAGUUGGUGAGGUAAAGGCUCACCAAGGCGAUGAUACAUAGCCGACCUGAGAGGGUGAUCGGCCACAUUGGGACUGAGACACGGCCCAAACUCCUACGGGAGGCAGCAGUAGGGAAUCUUCGGCAAGGGACGAAAGUCUGACCGAGCAACGCCGCGUGAGUGAAGAAGGUUGUCGGAUCGUAAAACUCGGUUGGUAGAGAAGAACGUUGGUGAGAGUGGAAAGCUCAUCAAGUGACGGUAACUACCCAGAAAGGGACGGCUAACUACGUG